rnacentral:rRNA from 1 species
AGUGGGGAAUAUUGGGCAAUGGGCGCAAGCCUGACCCAGCGACGCCGCGUGCGGGAAGACGGCCUUAGGGUUGUAAACCGCUGUUGUACGGGAAGAAGAAUUUGACGGUACCGUACGAGUAAGGUCCGGCUAACUACGUGCCAGCAGCCGCGGUAAUACGUAGGGACCGAGCGUUAUCCGGAAUUACUGGGCGUAAAGGGCACGCAGGCGGUCAUGCAAGUCAGCUGUUAAAUGUGGGGGCUUAACCCUUACGAGCGGUUGAAACUGUGUGACUUGAGUACUGGAGAGGUAAGCGGAAUUCCCGGUGUAGCGGUGAAAUGCGUAGAUAUCGGGAAGAACACCAGUGGCGAAGGCGGCUUACUGGCCAGUAACUGACGCUGAGGUGCGAAAGCCAGGGUAGCGAACCGGAUUAGAUACCCGGGUAGUCCUGGCCGUAAACGCUGAAUGCUAGGUGUGGGUGGGUAGAACCAUCCGUGCCGGAGUUAACGCGAUAAGCAUUCCGCCUGGGGAUUACGACCGCAAGGUUG